rnacentral:rRNA from 1 species
GAUGAACGCUGGCGGCGUGCCUAAUACAUGCAAGUCGAGCGAACAGACGAGGAGUUUGCUCCUCUGACGUUAGCGGCGGACGGGUGAGUAACAUGUGGAUAACCUACCUAUAAGACUGGGAUAACUUCGGGAAACCGGAGCUAAUACCGGAUAAUAUAUUGAACCGCAUGGUUCAAUAGUGAAAGACGGUUUUGCUGUCACUUAUAGAUGGAUCCGCGCCGCAUUAGCUAGUUGGUAAGGUAACGGCUUACCAAGGCAACGAUGCGUAGCCGACCUGAGAGGGUGAUCGGCCACACUGGAACUGAGACACGGUCCAGACUCCUACGGGAGGCAGCAGUAGGGAAUCUUCCGCAAUGGGCGAAAGCCUGACGGAGCAACGCCGCGUGAGUGAUGAAGGUCUUCGGAUCGUAAAACUCUGUUAUUAGGGAAGAACAAAUGUGUAAGUAACUAUGCACGUCUUGACGGUACCGAAUCAGAAAGCCACGGCUAACUACGUG